rnacentral:lncRNA from 1 species
UACUAAAUGACAUAAAAUUCUCAUUACAUCAAUUUCACAACUAUUCCAAAAAAACUACAAGGAAUUUUUUUUUUUUUUUUUUUUUGCUAAAACUACAAAGAAAACAUACCGAAGUAAUCUUCUACUUUUUUUUUUGUCAACAAAGUAAUCUUCUACAGUUUUGAAAAAGAAUAUAUUCCAUAUUUAACCAAUUCCAUUAACUUUAUCCUAUCAUUUUUUUUAUCUGUUGUAAUAUCCCAUUCUACCUAAUUAAUUUAGGGCAAAUCUUCAAAAUAACACUUUUCUAAGUUUAUAUCACAAAAAUAGCAUUCAAAAACCAAAAUGACCAAAAUAGCACAUUUCUAAGUUUAUCCUUUGAAA